rnacentral:lncRNA from 1 species
CAGAACCCUAACUGUUCACCUGACAAGACCUCAGGCAAAGCCCUGGCUCCCUCGGAGGAUCGGGGCUUUCUUGUUUGUAAAACAGGACACGGACUUUAGGAGCUCAGACACGAAUGCAUGCAAAAGCCUUACAGAGGGUUCAGGAGAGGAGACAGGACUUGAGUGUCACUUCCCCUCCUGCUGUCUUGUGGCCCUGCCAUGCACUGUGGCAAGUCUUCUGUUAUCUUCUGCCUGAGAGGCCGUGACUAAGAAGGUUCCAGACUUCCCGUCUAUCAAAGGAUGGAGGGAGAAAGGGCUCCGAAGGAGAAGGAAGAAGAAUAAGGGCAUUGGCCUCAGUCCAGAUGAAAAGACCCAGAUGCAAAAUUAUUUGGGCCACAUAUGUGUUGUUUGCUUAUCAAAUUUUCAACCUUUGAAAAAUCACAAUAUUGGAUGGUGGGAAUCAGUAGCAUUGCUGGAGUUCCUGUGGGUGGCAGGAGUUGGACAUUGUGGCAGGUGACCCUGCAAAGGAUAAACACAGAACCUGCAGAGGGUAAAGGAUUUCCCAAGUCUCACUCCUGGAGGGAGGGGCACAGGCAUGAGCAGCCUAUCGGGCCCCAUGUCAUGCAGCUAUGUUCUCUGCUGCUGGUGAGCUUGGCAUCGAAAGAAAACAUAGCAGGAAUGAUUUUGUCUGGGUUGGGGAUUUGGGGGAGUUUAGACUAUAAAUAGUGAGGAGGAUAUAAAAAGCCUUAAGAGGAUUUUUGGAAGCCCUAAAUCCACCACAUAGACCAAAGCAAGUUAACAGGAACCACUUCGGUUUUAGUGAGGUCUAAAUGUGACUCAGCAUAGUGCCCUCCCCUCCACUGUUCCCUUCCAGCUGUCGUGGUUCACGUGUCCGCUGUCACCACAACCCUUGCCAGCAUCUGCCAAACCAAGGGCACGUGUGUCAGGAGGUCUGCUGCCAGCAUGCCAGCUGCCAGGUGCUGCCUAGCCUUGAAUUACGGCCUGGCUCACUCCCUAAGGGAAGGCAUCAUUGGCAGCCUCUUCUGCAGCAGAGAAAACGGAAGCAUAGGAGGCCCCAGCUCAGGAAGCCUGAAGCCCACCCCGGUCACCGAGGUGCUCAGAAUCGAUGGAGAUCCAGAGUUGAAACCUCCCUACGUUUGGUCCUGUGUCCCCAGGGUCUGCUGCCGGCUCCUAGAUACCUACAAACAGAGGCCACAGAGAGUGGAGAUAUUGAGUAAGGAGGUGAAGAUGUGGGACCCAAGGUUCCCGGCCUCUUGAAGACAGCGUGGGGCUGCGGGUGCAGGUCAGAAGGCCUUGGAGGCCAGGUGGGUUGGAGCUGUGGGAGUGCCCCUCCUCCGCUUUCCACCCUUCUUGGGAUGGAGUCCAAAUUCUUGCCAAGGCUGAUGAAGCUGUCACAGCCUGGCCUCUGGCCGUGCCUCUCAUCCCCUCUCCCACUACCCUCCUGUCACUGCCAAUGCCCCUGCUGCCCUGCCUGCCCUCUAGCUCCUCCACCACACCAGGCUUCCUCCUGCACCAGGGCCUUUGCACGUGCUGAUCUCAAGUGGGCCCUCUGCCUGGAGCUGGGGGAGGGAGGCCUGCACCCAGGGGUGGGAGAAACUGUGCUCCUUCAUCCCUGAGUCACCAACUCCCUGCAUUGCAAAUCCUCAGUGUGAUCUCUGUUUUCUUGCUUAGUCCUGACUGAUGGUCCACCCGUCUGGCUAUCUCCUGUUUAUAUCUUCAAAUUCAGGUUAAAAGUCACUUCUUCCAGGAAGCCCUAACCAUCUCGUUCAAUGCUCUUCUCGUAUCUGACAGCCUCCACUGUGUGCUUGGGGGAGGGUAGAGAAAAAUCUUGGAUUUUUCUCUGCGUGAGGUUGGAAGCCAUGGAGGAAUUUAGAGCUGAGGAACGGCCUGAUCUGACUUCUAUUUUCACACAUCCUCUGUGUUGAGGAUUGAUGGCAGGAGGCAUGGCCAGAACAGGGAAGGCAUUUAGAAGGCUGUUGAGUUUCACCAGGUGACAGGUGGGGGUGGCUCGGCCCAGGGACGUAGCAGGGGGCGUGGUGAGAAGUGGCCGGACUCUGAACGGAUUUCAAAGUAGAAACAACCAGACUCAAUGACAGUCUAGACACGGGUGUGCUGGGGUGAAGGGAGGGGUUAACCAUGACCUCAGGCUUUAGCCUGAGCAGUGGAAAUGUGGAGUUGGCAUUUGCCGUAAUGGAGAAAGCUGGGGACAGGGCAGGGCGGCGGGGGCGUUUUGUGGUGGGGACGGGGAGGACCAGGAGCUCAGCUUGUAAAGUGCUUUAGACAUCCAAGGAGAGAAGCUGCCGGCCGCCUGGAGUUUAGGAGUCCAAGCCAGCGACGGGCUCCGAGAGUCACCCACACGUAACGUGCACCUAAAGUUAGAGAAUGACUGAGAGCGUCGCGGGAGUGAGGGUGGGUACAAAAAAGAAGCCACCCAAGAGUCGGGGCUCGGGGCACCCCGAUGCUAAGAAUGAACCAGCGAUGGAGACUGAGGAGAGGCGGCCACACAGGUGAGAGGAGAACUAGGAUAGCAGGGGCCGCUUGGCAGCCACAAGCGGAAUGUGCUUCCAGGACAAGGGGUGUCAGCCGUGUCAAAGGUGCAGGAAGGCCUCCAACAGGAGGUCAGAGAACGGCCCCCUGGAGUUAGCAGCGGACAGGCUGCGGGGGAUGGUGAUGACAGCGUGGGUGGGCUUGAGUGCAGGAGAGACUGAAAUAGUGGGUGGGGAGACUUGCUUGAGGAGUUUUGUGUUGCUAAAACGGGAAGAAUGGGAGAGUAGCUGGCGAGAGUCCUGUGGGUUUUUAAAGAUAGAUGGUAUAACCACAUGCUUGUACGUGCAUGGAGGUAACUCAGCAGGAGAAAGGGUGAUACUGUGAAGCGGCGGCUCUGGGGAGCUGGGGUAGCUUGGGAUCCAGCAGGUGAGGGAGGGGAGGUCCUCAGUGGGCCCCACCACCUGCGGCAGUGCUGUGAGGCAGAGCCCGGCGCAGGUGUGGGUGGAGGAGGAAGAUCUCUUCCGAGAAAGGAGGUAAGAAGGAAGCAAGGCUGUCAGCUGAGGGUGAGUAUGGAGGACGCCAGUUGGACAGGAGGGGUGGGCGUUUCGAGAGACUGCCAGAGGUGUGUAAUGAUGGCUGCCAGGCGACAGCAGCCGGGGUGGCUGUGUUUCUUCUCCACCUGCAUCCAGCCGAGUGGAGGGAGAGGGAGAGGACGGCAUGGAGAGGCCCGAGAGUGAAGAGCGGCGUCAUGUGACCUUUCCUGGAACCCCGGGGAAGUGAAGGCAGGAGGUCAGAGGUGAUGUGAAGGGGCGGCAGGGGCAGGAAGGCGUAAGAAGCCUUCUCAGAGCCGGGUGGGGGAGCUCUGGCACACGUGCAACUAAGGGGAAGGAUCUGGGGACAGGAAAAGAUUAGAGGGUUAGGAGUUUGGGGAACUGCCAGAGCAUGACCCUGCAGAGGGCAGGAUUCCCUGGGGACCAGGGCACCAAGGGAGGGGCAGCUUUGGAGAGGGACAGGGCAGGGGGUGCAGAAGCAAUGGUGUUUGUGCCUUCUGUGCUCUUGAGGAAAGAGAGCAGCUAAAGGGCGAGGACUUCAGCUGCAAUUCCUCAGCCCCACCCAGCCCGGCCACUUCGUGUACACCACAGCCCAGCAGGUCCCCCGCAAUGCCUAUUUUCCCAUGAUGUAUUUCUGCGCUCAGCUUCUCAAAACCAGACUUUUGUAGAGAGGGAUAACCUGCCAGCUCUUCUCCUCUGCUUGUCGCCGCGAGGACCCCACUCCCAUCCUGUCUUCUGCUCUGCUCUCUUUGCCGGGACUAGGGAGGGAGCCCCAGCUCCCAAUUCACUCUCACUCGGGAAGAACACUUAGGCCACAAACCCGAAACCCACCCUGGAGCCAAGGGGUGUCUUCACACAGGAAAAAGGCACACCCCACUGCUGGGCUUGUGGACAGUGCAACGCCAUCCUUGCGCUGCCGGGCGUGGGGACAGGGAAGGUGGGGAAAGUCAGAGUCACCGCUGCUUAGGCUGAUUUGUGUUGUAUUUAAUUUGUGGAACACAUUAAUUCUAAAUAAUACUUGAGCCUUCCUUCCCCUUCCCUCUUGUUCUUCCCCUCCUCCCUUCCCUUCCCCCCCUUUCCCUCCUUCCCUACCUCCCUUCCUUUCCACUUUUCGAUAAAUAUUUGCUUGGAGUCUGCUGUGUGCCUGAGAAAAUCUAUAUGAAGGUGAUCCAACAGAAACAGAGAGCAAGAGGUAGACCCCCAAGGAACUCGCCCAGCAGCCUCCACAGUGCCGCCCCUCGCUAACAGCAUCCUGGUUUUGCUCAAUCUGGGGCAGCAAUGUGCUCAGGGAGCGUUCCCCAGGAGAAGAGCAAAGACUGAUCGAAAGCAACCUGAGCCGCCCUGCUCACCUUGUCUACGAUUACCUGGCAGCAGAGGGUGGGCCUGUGACCCAGAUCUGGUAGGUGGGGCCUGAGAGGAAGUGGACUGGAGGGUUAGGUGCUUCCUCCCCAGGGAGAUGAAGACAUUCAAGAGAUGGAAAGUCGCUCCUGCGCUUCUUCCCUGGAGGCUGUCUUGAGAGGAUAUGAUCCUCCCAUCUGUGGCAGUCAUAUAAGAAUAGGAGAAAGGCAGGUAAAGUAUAGAAAAGCUACCUUGAGUCCCAGCAUCACUGAGCUGCUGAAUUAACAACCCUGGGUCCACUAAUACCAGUUUCUUGUUUGCAAAAUAAUGAAUUGUCCUUAUUGUCUGCACUCAUUUCAGUUGGGCACUCUCAUAUUUUGUAACCAAAGGCAUCUUACCUAUUGCAACAAAGAAGAAAUAAAGAACUACAAUUUUUCUAUCACAUGUGGCUCUGAGCCUCCUGGAUGCUGAGGUGAAAAGGGAAACGAGAUGAAUUGCCAAGCUCUCAUUCUUAGUCAGGAAGAGCUUCUCAGGGAGUUUCAGCUUUUUUGCCCCUAAAUUCCCUGUUUGACACUAAAUUUCCACAUGGGAGUUUAGGAAAGGAACACUGGGAUACAUAACUGCUAGACCCACGGUAAUCGUUUCACAGGAGAAGCAGUUUUCAAGGGCUCUUUCUUAAGAAAACUAGG